AGGGCGCAAGCGUUGUCCGGAAUUAUUGGGCGUAAAGAGCUUGUAGGUGGCUUGUCGCGUCUGCCGUGAAAACCCGAGGCUCAACCCCGGGCGUGCGGUGGGUACGGGCAGGCUAGAGUGUGGUAGGGGAGACUGGAACUCCUGGUGUAGCGGUGAAAUGCGCAGAUAUCAGGAAGAACACCGAUGGCGAAGGCAGGUCUCUGGGCCAUUACUGACACUGAGAAGCGAAAGCAUGGGUAGCGA
rnacentral:rRNA from 1 species